AGUGGAUGGGGAGCAACCUAGUUGUGAGUGCGGAAAGGUAGUGCCAAGAAAAGCUGUCAGAAUGAUGAGAAUUGAGUCCCGGUACCCGAAACCGACACAGGUAGGCAAGUAGAGAAUACUAAGGGGCGCGAGGUAACUCUCUCCAAGGAACUCGGCAAAAUGACCCCGUAACUUAGGGAGAAGGGGUGCCACCGAGAGGUGGUCGCAGUGAAGAGGCCCAGGCGACUGUUUAGCAAAAACAUAGGUCUCUGCAAACUCGAAAGAGGAAGUAUAGGGGCUGACGCCUGCCCAGUGCCGGAAGGUUAAAGAAGUUGGUCAGGAGAAAUCUGAAGCUGGCGACUGAAGCCCCGGUGAACGGCGGCCGUAACUAUAACGGUCCUAAGGUAGCGAAAUUCCUUGUCGGGUAAGUUCCGACCCGCACGAAAGGCGUAACGAUCUGGGCGCUGUCUCGGAGAGAGGCUCGGCGAAAUAGGAUUGUCUGUGAAGAUACGGACUACCUGCAUUUGGACAGAAAGACCCUAUGAAGCUUUACUGUAGCUUGAAAUUGUGUUCGGGCUUCCUGUGCGCAGGAUAGGUGGGAGGCUAGGAAGGUCUGCUUGUGGGCAGAUUGGAGCCAACCGUGAGAUACCACUCUCAGGAGGCUAGAAUUCUAACUUAAUUAAGGACAGUUUCAGGUGGGCAGUUUGACUGGGGCGGUCGCCUCCAAAAAGGUAACGGAGGCGUACAAAGGUUCCCUCACACUGGUUGGAAAUCAGUGGCAGAGUGCAAAGGCAGAAGGGAGCUUGACUGCGAGACGGACAAGUCGAGCAGGGUGGAAACACGGUCUUAGUGAUCCGACGGUGCUGUGUGGAAGGGCCGUCGCUCAACGGAUAAAAGUUACUCUAGGGAUAACAGGCUGAUCUCCCCCAAGAGUUCACAUCGACGGGGAGGUUUGGCACCUCGAUGUCGGCUCAUCGCAACCUGGGGCGGAAGUACGUCCCAAGGGUUGGGCUGUUCGCCCAUUAAAGCGGUACGUGAGCUGGUUCAGAACGUCGUGAGACAGUUCGGUCCAUAUCCGAUGUAGGCGUGAGAAUAUUGAGAGGAGCCUUCCUUAGUACGAGAGGACCGGGAAGGACGCACCGCUGGUGUACCUGUUAUGAUGCCAAUCGUAAACGCAGGGUAGCCAAGUGCGGAGAGGAUAACCGCUGGAAGCAUCUAAGUGGGAAGCCCACCUCAAGAUGAGUAUUCUGGUGUAAGGUCACGGGGAGACGACCCGUAGAUAGGCACGAGGUGGAAGUGCAGAGAUGUAUGAAGCCGAAGUGUACUAAUAGACCGUCGGCUUGACC
rnacentral:rRNA from 1 species